AUUGAACGCUGCGGCAUGCCUUACACAUGCAAGUCGAACGGUAACGCGGGGGCAACCCUGGCGACGAGUGGCGAACGGGUGAGUAAUACAUCGGAACGUACCCAGUAGUGGGGGAUAGCUCGGCGAAAGCCGGAUUAAUACCGCAUACGACCUACGGGUGAAAGCGGGGGAUCGCAAGACCUCGCGCUAUUGGAGCGGCCGAUGUCGGAUUAGCUUGUUGGUGAGGUAAAAGCUCACCAAGGCGACGAUCCGUAGCUGGUCUGAGAGGACGACCAGCCACACUGGGACUGAGACACGGCCCAGACUCCUACGGGAGGCAGCAGUGGGGAAUUUUGGACAAUGGGCGAAAGCCCGAUCCAGCCAUGCCGCGUGUGUGAAGAAGGCCUUCGGGUUGUAAAGCACUUUUGUCCGGAACGAAACGCCAGGAGCGAAUACCUCCUGGUAAUGACGGUACCGGAAGAUAAGCACCGGUAA
rnacentral:rRNA from 1 species